CCGAGUUUACAACUCCCAAACCCUUUGUGAAUCUACCCAUCGUUGCUUCGGCAGGCGGCCCCUGGGAGGGGCUGUAGCCUUUCGAGGUGCCUGCCGGAGGUAUGAAACUCUAUAUCUACUGUAUCUUCUGAGCAUAAAUAAAAUAAGUCA
rnacentral:misc_RNA from 1 species